AAUCCCCCAAUUAGAUCCGAAUCGAUGUGUUCAUUCAGACUUCAGAGAAUUCGUUACAUAUCCAUGUGAUGGGAUACGCUCCUUCAGAAUACCAUAACAUAAAUUGCUCAUGGAAAGCAACUUUACUCGGUCUAGAAGGUCGCCCCUGUUAUUUGCUUCUUCAACCCGAUACGUUGCACUAUUGCCGACUUACUGGAGAAAUGGGAAUAAGGAUGCACCAGUAACGAUUUGUUGAUAACAAAGGCGGACAUUAUAUUCCAGCGCCACUUCAAUCUAACCAUAUCAAUUGUUGAAGAUUUACUGCAUGACUCUGGGUUUAAAGCAUCCACAUCCGAAAGAUUCAUUCUGGGGUUGAUUUUGAUCUUGGAUAUGACUUUGAAUUGGCUUUGGACUGUCACCAGCACUGGCUUGGGGAGAAGUUGUUUCAAACAUCUGCAGCUCAACCAUUUCCUUGCCUUCACAUAUUAUCUUGACCUCACAGAAUUCAGCACAUGCAUCAAAAAACUUUUGAAGGAACUGCCUCCUCUUGCCUCUUUCUUGAGCCAUGUGGUUCUCCUUCUGCUCAGCA